AACGCUCUAUCCACUGAGACAAACCGGUUUUGGCUGUGCUUAUUUUAAAGACUGCCAAUUUGAUGGGCAAUAAAAAGUAUAUCAUUGUUUAAAUUAAUAAUUCCUUAGUUAUUCAUGAGGUUGAACUUAUUUCACAUGCUUACUGGUUGUAUGUAUUUUUUUUUUUUAUGAGUUUCCAGUUCAUAUUUUUCUACUUUUUUUUAUUGCUGUGUAUUAAUUACACUGGUUUUUAGAAACUAUUCAUUAAGACUAUAACUGGGAACAACAGGGGAGAGGUCAAUGGGGGGGGAAAGACAUAUGUAAUAAAUACUUUAAACAAUAAAGAAUUUUUAAAAAGUAUAUAACUGGCACAGGAUGUCGUUCUUCUUACUCUUUUAACUUUUUAAAAUGAAAAAAAGGUUAAAUGUUUAUGUGAUUAUAAACAGUUCUCUUUUCCUUUAGCUUGUUUUUCCUGUUAUUCCUAGAAGACUGUCUCUACUGUGAGAACAGGUGAGGAUCCUCUAGUCAGGUUACUUUAACUCUUUACACUGGUCAUUCUGGUCCUUCUAAACCCCAGGAGACUGACUGCAGCAGUGAACUGGAAGUAGGAGAGAUGGCCUAAUGUACUUCUAGCCCCUCUCAGGUUGGCUUCCCGUCAAGCCCGUUUGUUUCAGAGCUGUGUCACUGAGGAGCAGUCCCAGGGUUUCAUUCUGAGAAGCUGGGACCAUGUAACUCAGUAGGCCCUGACAGUCCACAGAUGGAGAAGCCUUGACUUCUGCCAAAGCUCAUGCUGGAAACAGAUUCAAAAUCAUUCACACAAAAGCAGGGAAAAAUAAAACAGCUUCUAGACUUCAUAGCUGGGCACAUGUGUCUAGAACAGUGAUCCUGUUCUUUGCCUGGCUAACUUCUAUGCAUCCUUCUCAAUUUAAGUGUCACUUCCUCAGAGAAGCCUUCCUGGUCAGUCCCACCACUAGUGGGGCCCAGUUAGUCUCACUUGGCAGCCUGUAGCACUUUCCAAAUAUAUACAUAUUUUAUAUAUUUAUUUAUGUGUUUAUAUGCUUAAUGUCUUACUCCCACCACUAGUCAAAAAAUUCCAUAAGAAAAAAACACACCCUUAGACCCCAAGUGCCUGGCCCUGCAGAUACUCCACGACAGCUGGAUGCCUUCCCUCCAGGAGAGGGUGGUCCUCACAGGUCAGCAGCCCUGAGCUGGAGCUGCCCCUGUCCUGGUAGAUAAGCUGGUUUCAUGCCAUUGUGGCCUUGUCCCCUUUCUAACAGACCACUAAGCCUCCCCUUUCCCUGGUUCCCUGGAGAGCACCUCAGAGCCCUCAUCAUAUCUGUACAGACGCUGCUGAGGCGCCUACGCACAGGCAUGGUCUAGACUAGACAACAGUUUGCUGCGAGCAGCUGCAGCACAGACAAUGAGUGGGCUCAGCCUGACCCCACCCACCCCACUCAAGAUUCAACUCAAGCAAAUGGCAUGGGAACUGCUCCAAAAUGUAGGCAGACAGAAGGUUGGGAGCAGACGGGCAGAGAGAGGAAAAAGAUGCUGCUGGCAGGGGAGGGGUAGCAAGGCUGCUUCCCUUCCUGAGCAUCCCUUCUUGCCACGCAGAGCUGGCGGAUGCAAAGGAAGCAGCGUGAGGAGGGGCGCCUGGAAAAGUGGAAGCUGCUGCAGGCUCACUAGAGGUGCCUGGAGACAGAGGAGAAAGUGCAACCUGCUGAAAAAGCUCCUAGACCCUGGAGGAAUAUGCUGUCCAGAUUCACAGGUUCAAAGGGACUUCUGCUGCUUUCUCCACCUGAUGUCUGCUGUGGUUCUAGCAUGCCAACCAGAGAGGACAGCACCCUCCGGACUUCCUUAUAAGCUAUUAUUCUCCUGGAAUCAGGGAGCUGUCAAGCCAGAAAGCUGCAAAUGAGCAGGGAGAGGGGGGGUCAUGCUUGUCCCUGGAGGAGGUGCAUUUCAGGGCGCCCAUGGAGAAAAGGGCUGGGUCCAAGGCAGGGUUACUGACACAUCCUCCCAGCAGCCAACAGGGCAGUGUCCUACAACACUCCCUGACUCACACACUCGGGGAGUCACCCCCACCGCACCUCAAUAUUCACGCAUAGGUGCUUCUACCAGCGCCACCACCUUCCCUACAGGCCUGUUCUCCGUCGACAAAGCCAACCCAGAGAACCAAGAGGAAUCCACAGAACCCAGUGUUUCAGAUGAUGGACCAGUUACUCACAUGCCAGAAGGAAAGCAAGGUGGAUUUGGGGGUCAGGUAGGCCCGGUUUCAAAUUUCAGUUUGCCUCAUUCACUUGCUUUGUGACCCUGAAAUAGUCACCAGUCCUCUAUGAGAGGCACCUCCACUCCGUGGGCCUCAGUUUCAUCUCUAAAGUGGGAUGACUGAAGGCUCAGACAGGAUGUUGUGGUUGGUGGUCUCGGGGGCUAUGCUGGAUGAAAGGUGAGCAUUCCCUGUUCCAUGCGGAGUAACCUUCCUGGUGACAAGUCUCUCUAAGCAAAUACCUUUUAAACUGUCAUUUAAUGGGCGUCUACUGCUUGCCAAGAACUGUCCUUAGUGUUCCCGAGAUUUUCUUCAAUUCUCACAACUUUAUGAGGGAAAGAUUCCCCCCUUUUACUGCUGACGAGUCAAAGCCCAGAGAUCCUGGCCCAGCUCACCUGCUGUCUGUCUUCUACUCUGCUAGCUGCCUGGAAGGGGUCUCUGAAUGAGGGCUUUUUCUCUGAGUCUGAGUGACAGCCGUCUCUGAAGCAGGCAUGAACCUUUUCCCAACAGCCUGAAGGCUAUAUGCCAUCUCUCUCGGAAGCCCCUGGAAGCCAUUUGCUUCUGCGCUCAGGAUGGAUGCUGGGGGUGGGGAGGCGGAUUAGUAGGCCCCAGGCUACAGCCAGGACUCCCUGAUGACAAAGAUUCACGCCUGUGCUGUCAUCUUCACUGUUCCAAAAUGGGGUGAUGAUUUUGUUCCUUUUUAAAAUGCGGGAUAUGUAUAGCUCCAAUUUGUCAAGAAUAUAUAACAUCACAUCAUGCUUCACUGCCUGAGGGUAUGGAGUGCACUGCUGCGUUCAACUAGAGUUCCCUCUUGUCGCUCAGGGUGAACCCCACCCCCUGAAGCCCUGCUCUCAGCCUGGGGGUGAGUACCUGCAGCAGCCAGAGAGGAAAUGACUCAGCCAGUGGAAGUGGGAGGGGCAGUCAGAAAGAGGGCUCUGUGCCCAGCUCUCCCCCUCAGUCCUCGGUCACUGCCUUUCCUCACAGGACUACAGCAUGCUGAGUUCAGCAGUCCCGGGGGCCUGCAGGGCCUGAAGACCCCGCCGCUCACAGGAAGCCCGAUGUCUGCUGCUCGCGGUCCAGCUCUAGUCUCCUCCAGGAGGCAAGGUUACACACACAAGGAGACGUCGUAAUCAGUGAUGUCCAUCUUUACCCCACUGCCCUGAGAAGUCCUCACUGGGCUCCUCUGUGAGUUCCAUGAAGGCUGGGGGGACAGACUGGAGGCUAAAGGCCCCUGCCCAGGAGAACAUGUCUCAGUGAUUCUGGGAGAAAAGGCUCCAGGGUAGUGCACACAGAGCUGGACCCGUAGACCCCUCUGGGGAAAAGAUAAACAGUGCAAGAAACUAGUUCCUGCAGAUGGGUCACAGGACCUCACCAGCAGCCACUCAAAAAGCCACCAGAGCAGAAUCCAGGGCAGCAUCACCAGCUCACCCCUCCCAGGGGCCUCCGGAAGCAGCUGAUGUGACAACAAAUAACCCGUCACCAUGAGUGGGUGUCAGAAGAGGAAGGAACAGACUUAAUAGCUCUUUCUGAGUUGUGCUGCCCUGGUAUCUCCCCCGCCAGCGAAGCAGCCUGGGCAAACAGCGAAGAGCACUUUCUUGGGAAACAUUCCUGGCGGCCUCUUGGCUCUGAGGGGAGGGGGGCUUCUGCCAUGAGCAGUGAUGGCAGACUGAGUCACUUAGAGCCCUCACCAGCAUGCCAGCCUCCCUUCAACUAGGGGACCCUGGCAUGAACAGAUGACAGGGAGGUCCCUCAACUCAAACCAUCACGUAUUACUUUGGGCAGUGACUCAGCCCAGCCCAGCCUGCCUCAGGGUCCCAUGUGGACUUCAGGUUCUUGCCACUCACAAUGGUCCCAAUCAGGCAGGAGAAUGUAGCAAGCGACUAAAGGAGGGCUGGCUGAGUCUGAGGGCCACCUUUGUGUCCACUGUGUGACCUGGACAAGUGUUUCUCUGCUCCUGUUUCCCACCUAGAGAGAGAGACAGUGAUGCUUCCCACAGGUUCCCUGAGGACUGCUGGGAGCCAGAGUGUGGGAGGCACUUGAAAAAUGCUAAGUUUCCUUCUACCCCAGAUUUCCAGAGAGACUUACGGGAGAGCCCAGGCCUGGCCUAGGUGCAAUGAUUCUCUCUUUUCUACUGCUUUUAAUAGCAGAAAUCACUACAAUCAUCCGGUGAGAAAGGCAAUUAGGACUGGGGCCAGCAAGCUGCCUUUUCUUAACUGCCUCUAUCAAAAAUUAAAUUCGAUUAAACUCCACAAUUUUGACAAUGAACAAUAUAGUUCACUUUCUGUGGUUUUACUGAAUGAUGCUAGCGGUGGCUGCUCAGAGGGUAAGAUUACAGAGGCAGACAGCAGGCCUGCAGAAUGCCCCUCAGUGGGCCGUUCAGAGGGGUGGGCCGACACGAGGGCCUCACCUGCUCUGCCCCUGGGAGGCCAGCCAUGGCCAAUCCCAGGGGCCAGAAGCCUCCAUGGACAGACACUGGCAAGCAAAUGCUCCUUGAAUGUCUGUUUGCCUGUGUCUCUGGAGAGGGUGACACAGGCAAGGCCUGGGGCCUUGUCCACCUGAGAGUCCUGCACAGGCCCAAUAGGUGUGCAGAAGACAUGCAUGAAAUAACAGCCAACAAAGUAAAAGAAAAUACACACGCCUGGGGCCCAGCACUGCUAAUUCUAGGGAUUAUCCUACAAAUAUACUCACACCAAUUCACAAAGAUUAAUUGCUCCAGGGUCUUCAUGUGUGGCAGUAAGAAAAAAAAAUCACAAACGCACACACACACACACACACACACACACACACACACACACCUUCAGACAGGUCCAUCAAGAAGGGACUGGUUCACUACAUCGUGUUCCAUGCAGACAAUGGAAUACUAUGUAGUCUUUAAGACUAAAGCCACACCUACUGAUAAAGAUGUCUAUGACACACCACAUUUUUAAAAAGCAAAAUACUGAACUAUUUGUAUAGCACAAUCCCAUUUGAUUAAAA